rnacentral:rRNA from 1 species
UUACCAGGUCUUGACAUCUUCUGCCAGGCUGAGAGAUCAGCUGUUCCCUUCGGGGACAGAAUGACAGGUACUGCAUGGUUGUCGUCAGCUCGUGUCGUGAGAUGUUGGGUUAAGUCCCGCAACGAGCGCAACCCUUAUGAUCAGUUGCCAGCAUUCAGUUGGGCACUCUGGUCAGACUGCCGGUGACAAACCGGAGGAAGGCGGGGAUGACGUCAAAUCAUCAUGUCCCUUAUGACCUGGGCUACACACGUGCUACAAUGGGUGGUACAACGAGCAGCGAGACCGCGAGGUCAAGCGAAUCUCUAAAAACCAUCCUCAGUUCGGAUUGCAGGCUGCAACUCGCCUGCAUGAAGCUGGAAUCGCUAGUAAUCGCGGAUCAGCACGCCGCGGUGAAUACGUUCCCGGGUCUUGUACACACCGCCUGAAUUC